AGAACUCAUGAGAGGACUUAUGGGGCUCCCACCCCGUAGUAGCUAGAACCUACAUUGGACUUCUUUUAAGGAGAAAACAAAUG
rnacentral:ncRNA from 1 species